rnacentral:rRNA from 1 species
UAGGGAAUCUUCGGCAAUGGGGGGAACCCUGACCGAGCAACGCCGCGUGAGUGAAGAAGGUUUUCGGAUCGUAAAGCUCUGUUGUUAAGGAAGAACGAGUGUGAGAAUGGAAAGUUCAUACUGUGACGGUACUUAACCAGAAAGGGACGGCUAACUACGUGCCAGCAGUCGCGGUAAUACGUAGGUCCCGAGCGUUGUCCGGAUUUAUUGGGCGUAAAGCGAGCGCAGGCGGUUAGAAAAGUCUGAAGUGAAAGGCAGUGGCUCAACCAUUGUAGGCUUUGGAAACUGUUUAACUUGAGUGCAGAAGGGGAGAGUGGAAUUCCAUGUGUAGCGGUGAAAUGCGUAGAUAUAUGGAGGAACACCGGUGGCGAAAGCGGCUCUCUGGUCUGUAACUGACGCUGAGGCUCGAAAGCGUGGGGAGCGAACAGG